rnacentral:ncRNA from 1 species
GAUGGGGAUGAGAGGUGCGUGGGGUGAAGGCUGAGAACAUACGGUCUGAACUUGAUACUGGAUAAUACCAGCGAAAGGAAAAUCAUGCCUUAUCCCU